GCCGCAUUCGUCUAACGGCUAGGACGGAAGAUUCUCAGUCUUCAAAUAAGAGUUCGAUUCUCUUAUGCGGUA
rnacentral:tRNA from 1 species